AUUAGGUAAUUAAGUGCAACUC
rnacentral:siRNA from 1 species